rnacentral:rRNA from 1 species
UACGUAGGGCGCAAGCGUUGUCCGGAAUUACUGGGCGUAAAGAGCUCGUAGGUGGUUUGUCGCGUUGUCCGUGAAAACUCACAGCUUAACUGUGGGCGUGCGGGCGAUACGGGCAGACUGGAGUACUGCAGGGGAGACUGGAAUUCCUGGUGUAGCGGUGGAAUGCGCAGAUAUCAGGAGGAACACCGGUGGCGAAGGCGGGUCUCUGGGCAGUAACUGACGCUGAGGAGCGAAAGCGUGGGGAGCGAACAGG